CUCAAGCACUGUUUCCCAACUUGGCACCCGUAUUUAUGGAUAUAUUGCUUUGGUUUGGGAUAAAUUCAAAUUCACUACUACAACAGUAUGAUGUCAUCGUAAAUCACUCUUGUGGAACCUUUCUAGAGAACACCAUAUCCAAUCCAUUAAGCAAAAGGCUAUCACUUAUGAACAAAAUUUCCCUAUCUAUAUAAGCCAUGACUGGUACAUCAUUUUUGUAAAAUUUCAACUCAAAAUGUGUUCGUAAUAUCAAAUCUAGAACAAUUUUCGUAAUUAGCUGAUUAAUAUUUCAUAUGCUCUUUCAUUCACUCCCUAGCUAGUAAAUCAAAUAGAGAGGAUGUGUUUUGCUCCCUGAUUAGCCAAUCUUAUCACCCUUUUCUCUCCAGAGAUAAAUAUGAAACUCCUCAAAGUUUUAACUUAUUCAGCCUCAAAUACAGGUUCCUACUAGCUGUUAAGGUAGUGGUUCUCAAACUUUUUCAAAAAUUAUGCUUAAUGGUCCCCUUUCAAAUUUUUCUGAUUGCUCACGGUCCACUAAAGGAAUGAAAGCAAAUAGCAACGCGAUAUAUCAAGCAUUCAUUUAUUGAAUGAUAUUAAAACAGUUCGAUGAGAUGGGUACGCCUGCUUGGCUUCCAAUAGUUCUUUCAACUUGGAUUUUGUUUUGGAUAAUGCCACUGUCAUAUUGGGUCUGACGUCCAUUCUGUUUCAACAUUUUGUUUUAAUAGCGAGUAACGUAGAAAAAGCUGUCUCACAUUCGUAAGUUGUUGCAAAUGGAAUAAGCAUUUUUAGCGCCAUCUUAGCGAAAUCGGGAUAGAACGGUGCCACUGUGGUUUUUUUUCCUUCAGAACUUAUCACGGCAGAAUUUUAUAUCUAAAUUUAUUUUUUAUGGCAUGGGUAUUUUUCAAAUUACCCCGUGAAGAUUUACAACCAGACGCACACGCCUUCCACAAACAAUACGCUCUGAUUUACGGUACUUGACACGUUCUCCAACGUUUGUUAUACGUAAUAAUGUCUUCGGUAGAGCGUGAAAUUUUAGAACAAAUUACUGGAUGUCCUGCUAGACGAGAGGACAUGGUUUGAAAUAUGACUAAGCCAUCCAGUCGGCUCUCCUCUCCAUUAAGAUAUUAUGAAAAGUCCUCUCUUAGUUUAUCACUGCAAUUUAAUUGCUACAAUGUAGCCUAUAUACAGCCAAACAUAUCAAAUGUUGAAUUUUUGAUUCUUAUUCUGACAAAUUUUUUUUCAACUUUUAUUCUGUACAUUUUUUUGAUAAAUGCAAUUAUUUAAUUUUCAGCUGCUGUAAAUUUUGUCUUUAUCAUGUCAAAUACGGAUUGGGAUAAUUAUAUAGCGCCAUUCAGUGUUACUUGAAAUUUGUAAAAUAUAAGUAGGCUAGCUAGCUCUCACUCCAGCUUUUAGCAUUUCAGGGGCUAAACAUAACUUUGCUCAGACUCCGAGAUGAGUCUGCUUUUUUUCUCUACUUUUGAGUGAGCGAACCAUGUUUUAAACAAAUUAAUUACAAAUAGGCAACAACUUUACAGGUACAGUAGCAGUGUUUCUCAGUGUGAAAAUUAAAUACUUAUUAGUUAUUUGUUUUUUCUGGUACUGCUUUUCAUAUUUUGAACUACCGAUACAGUUGAGUACUUUUCUGCAAUCGCCACUCAUUUUAAUUGGAACUUUUUUUUUAUUUGGAUCAGUUUUUCUUUAUACGGGGAGUGUUCACCCCCCAACCCCCACCCCGAUAAAAUAUAUAUCACGCCUAAAAUUUGGAAACACCCCCACAAAAAAUGUUGGGGGACAUACUGUGUUAGAAAACAACUGGUUAUAAAAUUAAUGUUGGAGUGGUAACAGAAUAUUACUCAAUGUUUUUUAACUGGUACAUGAAAUUUAUUUGUUUCACAAUUUUCAAUUUUUUAUUCUAUGGUGCACAUAUUAUAUCAUCAGGUUGGAUUCUGUGAUUUCAUUAUACUUAGCUUCGCAGACAUAUUUUUAAAUUUGUGGGCCAUCAAAAAAUAUGGCAAACUCUUGUUAAUUUGGUUGGCCAUUUUUGAAAAGUUGGAUUUUCGAGAGUUCUAUUUUAAAUGCAACUGUUAUUAAUCAUAUGGAAAUUUCCUCUAAUUUUGAAACCGUAAAUGCAAAAUGAAUGACUCCCCCACUUUCCAUGGACUGCCAAGCUUAUUGGCACCUGGGGUAUAAUCAGCGGUGGGAUUCAAUUUUUUUGUCAGCCGGUUCCAUCACAAAAGCUAUAUUUUUCAGCCGGUUCUGUUACAAAAAGUAAUGUUUUUUUUUCUGUAAUGCUAACCGGUUCGCUGAACUGAUAAAAUUUUGUGUCUAUUUACGGUUCUAUAGAACCGGUGAGAACCAGCUGAAUCCCAUAACUGGGUACCGAUAUAUUGUAUGAAGCACCUUAUUUUCCUAAUCAACUCCACAGUGUUGUACCUGUGCGUGUUCAGUGCUUUUUUGAAUAACAAUACUUUCAUUCAAUAUUAAGUUCCAAAAUUUUCGCUUCUUAAUAUUUGCACAGAAGUAAAGUGUGUUUUGAAAUAUAGGGUGUCCAUGAAGUCUGGAAUUUUUUUAAAAAGCUCAUCAAUACCAUAUAUUGUUUUAGCCCUCACAGAUGUAUUAAAUGAAGUUAAAAUAAUUGAACAAUUACUGAUUUAAGAACAACGAAUCUGGUCAACAUUUAUUGAGAACUGACUCCAUAAUGAAAUUGAGACUUUAUGGACACCCUGUGCAUCUCAGUAUUCUUGAUAUAAACAUCCAAGUGUCAACUUAUUCAUUGGUGCUAUAUUCUAUUUUUUCGGCGCUCCAGAAGUAUGUGUACCAAUAUUAGGGUAACUAAUUUUGUUCACCUGCCUAAUUCAAGUUGUGUAAAGGGAUAGAAGCCCAUGGGUAGGGGUAUAUUCCCUAGGCUAACACAGACAGUCCCCGAACUCGUAAUAGGACCAAAAUAAGGGAAAUAUGAAUAAAACUAUGGCCCUAACAUGGUACACACACUUCUGGAGUACCUUUCAUUCACUAUAUAUUUCCCAAAUUUUCAAAAAACUCAAUCCUUAUUUGCACUGCAGUGGAGUGUGCUCAAAAUAUACUUGAUCUCAAUAUUCCUGAUAUAUAUAUCCAAAUGCCAACAUUUUCAUUGGUGCUAUAUACCUUUACUAUUUUUCAAUGUCUCUCAUGCUAGUUCUUGCUGAAUCAAAUUUUUCUUUGUAAAUCAUUGAUAAUCAUGUUUUUUCAUAUUCCUCUCGUUUAUUCCCAAUACUCAACAUUAUAUCUGAAGC